rnacentral:rRNA from 1 species
UACGGGAGGCAGCAGUGGGGAAUAUUGGACAAUGGGGGGAACCCUGAUCCAGCCAUGCCGCGUGUGUGAAGAAGGCCUUAUGGUUGUAAAGCACUUUAAGCGAGGAGGAGGCUACUGAGACUAAUACUCUUGGAUAGUGGACGUUACUCGCAGAAUAAGCACCGGCUAACUCUGUGCCAGCAGCCGCGGUAAUACAGAGGGUGCGAGCGUUAAUCGGAUUUACUGGGCGUAAAGCGUGCGUAGGCGGCUUUUUAAGUCGGAUGUGAAAUCCCCGAGCUUAACUUGGGAAUUGCAUUCGAUACUGGGAAGCUAGAGUAUGGGAGAGGAUGGUAGAAUUCCAGGUGUAGCGGUGAAAUGCGUAGAGAUCUGGAGGAAUACCGAUGGCGAAGGCAGCCAUCUGGCCUAAUACUGACGCUGAGGUACGAAAGCAUGGGGAGCAAACAGGAUUAGAUACCCUGGUAGUCCAUGCCGUAAACGAUGUCUACUAGCCGUUGGGGCCUUUGAGGCUUUAGUGGCGCAGCUAACGCGAUAAGUAGACCGCCUGGGGAGUACGGUCGCAAGACUAAAACUCAAAUGAAUUGACGGGGGCCCGCACAAGCGGUGGAGCAUGUGGUUUUUUUCGAUGCAACGCGAAGAACCUUACCUGGCCU